GCCAUACUGUCUCUAAAAUACUUAAUAAAAAUUAUCCUUUAGGUGAAGAGACCUAAAUAAGAAAAAAGGACAAGAAGACCCUGUUGAGCUUUAUUAAUAUAUUUAGGCUUGAAAACUUUAAGUACCUAUUAAUCCCUAUAUAUAAAAUUUAGUUGGGGCGACUAAGGAACAAUAAAAACUUCCUUAAAUAUCUAAGACUUUCCAGUCUUUAUCUGAUCCAAAUUUAUUGACCAAAGAAUUGAGCUACCACAGGGAUAACAGGCUAAUCCUCCUUAAGAGCCCAUAUUGACAGGAGGGAUUGGCACCUCGAUGUUGGCUUAGGGCCCCCAAAAAGCGCAGCAGCUUCUAAAGGUAGGUUUGUUCAACCUUUAAUGCCCUACGUGAUCUGA
rnacentral:rRNA from 1 species